AAAAAUAUGGGAAGAAGUUACGUGUAGCAGCUAUAAAUUACACACUUACACUUCACUCACUCACUCACUCCAUCACCAUGGCUCUUCCUCGCCUAUAAAAAAAACCAUGGCUCUUCCUCUUAUUCUCUUCCACGGUGCCAUUACCACCCAAAUGAAUGAACUAAAUAUAAUAGCAUUAAGGGAUGCUAUUAAUCUCAAUACAGAGAGAAAACACGCCUACAGCAGAGUGGAUCACGACCAAACAACAACCGCAACAGAUUAAGUGUUGCGUGGGUAAAUAUGAGGUUGGGAGGACGGAGGACAAUUGGUGAGGGAACAUUUGCAAAGGUGGAAUUUGCAAGGAACUCUGAGACAGGGGAGGCUGUGGCUCUCAAAAUUCUUGACAAAGAGAAGGUCCUCAAGCACAAGAUGGCUGAACAGAUUAGGCGGGAAUUAGCUACAAUGAAGUUAAUUAAUCAAGCAUCCAAAUGUGGUUCAGCUGUAUGAGGUCUCUCAGGAAUUGGAAUGUGGAAGUUUCUCAUAUUCACGAAUUUAUAAAGGUUAGUUUUGAGAGGUUCUUUAUGAGCUGUCUUAUCUAUCAAUUAAUUGUUGUACUUGUAUGAUGGCUAGAAUCCUCAUAAGAAGAAAGGUCAUUCAUAUAUAAUUUAUGUUUUGAUUAUUUCUGGAUAAUUCAUAAGGAA